rnacentral:rRNA from 1 species
GACGAACGCUGGCGGCGUGCUUAACACAUGCAAGUCGAACGGAAAGGCCCUGCUUUUGUGGGGUGCUCGAGUGGCGAACGGGUGAGUAACACGUGAGUAACCUGCCCUUGACUUUGGGAUAACUUCAGGAAACUGGGGCUAAUACCGGAUAGGAGCUCCUGCUGCAUGGUGGGGGUUGGAAAGUUUCGGCGGUUGGGGAUGGACUCGCGGCUUACCAGCUUGUUGGUGGGGUAGUGGCUUACCAAGGCUUUGGCGGGUAGCCGGCCUGAGAGGGUGACCGGCCACCUUGGGACUGGGGUACGGCCCAGACUCCUACGGGGGGCAGCAGUGGGGAAUAUUGCACAAUGGGGGGAAGCCUGAUGCAGCAACGCCGCGUGCGGGAUGACGGCCUUCGGGUUGUAAACCGCUUUCGCCUGUGACGAAGCGUGAGUGACGGUAAUGGGUAAAGAAGCACCGGCUAACUACGUG